GGCAAUGCGGCAGCUACACAUGCAGUCGGACGGUAGCACAGAGGAGCUUGCUCCUUGGGUGACGAGUGGCGGACGGGUGAGUAAUGUCUGGGGAUCUGCCCGAUAGAGGGGGAUAACCACUGGAAACGGUGGCUAAUACCGCAUAACGUCGCAAGACCAAAGAGGGGGACCUUCGGGCCUCUCACUAUCGGAUGAACCCAGAUGGGAUUAGCUAGUAGGCGGGGUAAUGGCCCACCUAGGCGACGAUCCCUAGCUGGUCUGAGAGGAUGACCAGCCACACUGGAACUGAGACACGGUCCAGACUCCUACGGGAGGCAGCAGUGGGGAAUAUUGCACAAUGGGCGCAAGCCUGAUGCAGCCAUGCCGCGUGUAUGAAGAAGGCCUUCGGGUUGUAAAGUACUUUCAGCGGGGAGGAAGGCGACGGGGUUAAUAACCCUGUCGAUUGACGUUACCCGCAGAAGAAGCACCGGCUAACUCCGUGCCAGCAGCCGCGGUAAUACGGAGGGUGCAAGCGUUAAUCGGAAUUACUGGGCGUAAAGCGCACGCAGGCGGUCUGUUAAGUCAGAUGUGAAAUCCCCGGGCUUAACCUGGGAACUGCAUUUGAAACUGGCAGGCUUGAGUCUUGUAGAGGGGGGUAGAAUUCCAGGUGUAGCGGUGAAAUGCGUAGAGAUCUGGAGGAAUACCGGUGGCGAAGGCGGCCCCCUGGACAAAGACUGACGCUCAGGUGCGAAAGCGUGGGGAGCAAACAGGAUUAGAUACCCUGGUAGUCCACGCCGUAAACGAUGUCGACUUGGAGGUUGUUCCCUUGAGGAGUGGCUUCCGGAGCUAACGCGUUAAGUCGACCGCCUGGGGAGUACGGCCGCAAGGUUAAAACUCAAAUGAAUUGACGGGGGCCCGCACAAGCGGUGGAGCAUGUGGUUUAUUUCGAUGCAACGCGAAGAACCUUAUCUACUUCUUGACAUCCAGCGAACUUAGCAGAGAUGCUUUGGUGCCUUUCGGGAACGCUGAGACAGGUGCUGCAUGGCUGUCGUCAGCUUCGUGUUGUGAAAUGUUGGUUAAGUCCCCGCAACGAGCGCUAACCUUUAUUCUUUUGUUGCCAGCUGAUUCGGUCCGGACUCGAAGGGAAAUUGCCGGUAGAUAACCCGGAAUUGGUGGGGAUGACGGUCAAGUCAUCCUUGGCCUCUACGGAGUAGGCUACACACUCGUUGCUACGAC
rnacentral:rRNA from 1 species